rnacentral:rRNA from 1 species
CCUACGGGUGGCAGCAGUGGGGAAUAUUGCGCAAUGGGCGAAAGCCUGACGCAGCGACGCCGCGUGAGGGAUGAAUGUCUUCGGAUCGGUAACCUCUGUCAGCAGGGAAGAACGGGCACUGUGCUAAUCAGCAGUGAAUUGACGGUACCUGCAAAGGAAGCACCGGCUAACUCCGUGCCAGCCGCCGCGGUAAUACGGAGGGUGCGAGCGUUAAUCGGAAUUACUGGGCGUAAAGCGCUCGUAGGCGGUAUGUCAAGUCAAGGGUGAAAUCCCCGCGCUCAACGUGGGAACUGCCUUUGAAACUGGCAAACUGGAGUGUGUGAGAGGAUAGUGGAAUUCCAGGUGUAGGAGUGAAAUCCGUAGAUAUCUGGAGGAACAUCAGUGGCGAAGGCGACUAUCUGGCACAUCACUGACGCUGAGGAGCGAAAGCGUGGGUAGCAAACAGGAUUAGAUACCCCUGUAGUC